UACGAAGGGGGCUAGCGUUGUUCGGAAUUACUGGGCGUAAAGCGCGCGCAGGCGGUCUUCCAAGUCAGUGGUGAAAGCCCGGAGCUCAACUCCGGAAUUGCCAUUGAAACUGUUGGACUUGAGGAUGAGAGAGGUGAGUGGAAUUCCCAGUGUAGAGGUGAAAUUCGUAGAUAUUGGGAAGAACACCGGUGGCGAAGGCGGCUCACUGGUCCGAUACUGACGCUGAGGUGCGAAAGCGUGGGGAGCCAAACAGGG
rnacentral:rRNA from 1 species